AAUGGCGGUUAACAAAGAGAGGCAAGACCGCGAGGUGGAGCAAAUCUCAAAAAACCGUCCCAGUUCGGAUCGCAGGCUGCAACCCGCCUGCGUGAAGUUGGAAUUGCUAGUAAUCGUGGAUCAGCAUGCCACGGUGAAUACGUUCCCGGGCCUUGUACACACCGCCCGUCACACCAUGAGAGCCGGGAACACCCGAAGUCCGUAGUCUAACCUAUAUGGAGGACGCGGCCGAAGGUGGGUUUGGUAAUUGGGGUGAAGUCGUAACAAGGUACC
rnacentral:rRNA from 1 species